CCUACGGGCGGCAGCAGUGAGGAAUAUUGGUCAAUGGGCGGGAGCCUGAACCAGCCAAGUCGCGUGAGGGAAGACGGUCCUACGGAUUGUAAACCUCUUUUGCCGGGGAGCAACGGGGUCCUUGCGAGGGCCCGAUGAGAGUACCCGGAGAAAAAGCAUCGGCUAACUCCGUGCCAGCAGCCGCGGUAAUACGGAGGAUGCGAGCGUUAUCCGGAUUUAUUGGGUUUAAAGGGUGCGUAGGCGGGCUGUUAAGUCAGCGGUCAAAUGUCGGGGCUCAACCCCGGCCUGCCGUUGAAACUGGCGGCCUCGAGUGGGCGAGAAGUAUGCGGAAUGCGUGGUGUAGCGGUGAAAUGCGUAGAUAUAAGGAAGAACACCAGUGGCGAAGGCGGAUUACUGGACGAUAACUGACGGUGAGGCGCGAAAGCGUGGGGAGCAAACAGGAUUAGAUACCCCGGUAGUC
rnacentral:rRNA from 1 species